GAUGAACGCUGGCGGCGUGCCUAAUACAUGCAAGUCGAGCGAACAGAUAAGGAGCUUGCUCCUUUGACGUUAGCGGCGGACGGGUGAGUAACACGUGGGUAACCUACCUAUAAGACUGGGAUAACUUCGGGAAACCGGAGCUAAUACCGGAUAACAUUUGGAACCGCAUGGUUCUAAAGUGAAAGAUGGUUUUGCUAUCACUUAUAGAUGGACCCGCGCCGUUUUAGCUAGUUGGUAAGGUAACGGCUUACCAAGGCAACGAUACGUAGCCGACCUGAGAGGGUGAUCGGCGACACUGGAACUGAGACACGGUCCAGACUCCUACGGGAGGCAGCAGUGGGGAAUCUUCCGAAAUGGGCGGAAGCCUGACGGAGCAACGCCGCGUGAGUGAUGAAGGGUUUCGGCUCGUAAAACUCUGUUAUUAGGGAAGAACAAAUGUGUAAGUAACUGUGCACGUCUUGACGGUACCUAAUCAGAAAGCCACGGCUAACUACGUG
rnacentral:rRNA from 1 species